GUGUCAGCAGCCGCGGUAAUACCGGCAGUCCGAGUGAUGGCCGAUUUUAUUGGGCCUAAAGCGUCCGUAGCUGGCCGCACAAGUCCAUCGGGAAAUCCGCGCGCUUAACGCGCGGGCGUCCGGUGGAAACUGCAUGGCUUGGGACCGGAAGACCAGAGGGGUACGUCCGGGGUAGGAGUGAAAUCCCGUAAUCCUGGACGGACCACCGGUGGCGAAAGCGCCUCUGGAAGACGGAUCCGACGGUGAGGGACGAAAGCUCGGGUCACGAACCGGAUUAGAAACCCCAGUAGUCC
rnacentral:rRNA from 1 species